GAUGAAGAACGUAGCGAAAUGCGAUAAGUAGUGUGAAUUGCAGAAUUCAGUGAAUCAUCGAAUCUUUGAACGCACAUUGCGCCCGGUAGUAAUCUGCCGGGCAUGCCUGUCCGAGCGUCAUUUCAACCCUCGAACCACUAUUCGCGUAGCUGGAUCGGUGUUGGGGCACUACGGUGGAAUACCCGUAGGCCCCGAAAUGAAGUGGCGGUCCCGCCGCGGCGCCCCCAUGCGUAGUAACAUCUCGUCUCGCAUCGGGUCCCGGCGGAGGCCUGCCGUCAAGCCUAUUUUCUAAUUACAGAUGGUUUGACCUCGGAUCAGGUAGGGUUACCCGCUGAACUUAAGCAUAUCAAUAAGCGGAGGA
rnacentral:misc_RNA from 1 species